UACGAAGGGGGCUAGCGUUGCUCGGAAUCACUGGGCGUAAAGGGUGCGUAGGCGGGUCUUUAAGUCAGGGGUGAAAUCCUGGAGCUCAACUCCAGAACUGCCUUUGAUACUGAGGAUCUUGAGUUCGGGAGAGGUGAGUGGAACUGCGAGUGUAGAGGUGAAAAUUCGUAGAUAUUCGCAAGAACACCAGUGGCGAGGGCGGCUCACUGGCCCGAUACUGACGCUGAGGCACGAAAGCGUGGGGGAGCAAACAGGG
rnacentral:rRNA from 1 species